GUGUUGUGCUAGCAGCAUAUAUACUGCCAUCAAAUGAUACAGAGAGGAUCAGCAUGGCCUUUGCACAACGAUGAUAUGCAAAUUUGCAAAGUGUUCUGUAUCUUU
rnacentral:snRNA from 1 species